rnacentral:misc_RNA from 1 species
GUUCAUACCAUUUCCAUUACGUAACUGGCUACUACAGAUACUUGACUCACUAAUCUCUACAGCAUCAAGCUCAUCUGCCAAUGGCAUUUUCAUCCUCCAGAUUGCUGUAGGUCUCGAUGAACGGAAAGUUUUACUUCUCGAUGCCUCUUUAACAGGUCUUGCUGCACCACCUAAAUAAUUAUCUGGCUUUAUCCUGGGUGUCAAUGCACCCUCAAAAGGCUCUUGCACAUCUGCA